rnacentral:rRNA from 1 species
GAUGAACGCUAGCGGCAGGCCUAAUACAUGCAAGUCGAACGGUGUCUUCGGACAUAGUGGCGCACGGGUGCGUAACACGUAUGCAACCUACCUUACAUUGGGGGAUAGCCUUUCGAAAGGGAGAUUAAUACCGCAUAAGACAGUAGCUGGGCAUCCAGCAGCUGUUAAAGAUUUAUCGAUGUAAGCAGGGCAUGCGUCCAAUUAGCUAGUUGGUGAGGUAAUGGCUCACCAAGGCAAUGAUUGGUAAGGGAACUGAGAGGUCAAUCCCCCACACUGGCACUGAGAUGCGGGCCAGACUCCUACGGGAGGCAGCAGUAGGGAAUAUUGGGCAAUGGACGCAAGUCUGACCCAGCCAUGCCGCGUGCAGGAUGAAGGCGUUAUACGUUGUAAACUGCUUUUAUACAGGAAGAAACGACUCUUGCGAGAGGCAUUGACGGUACUGUAUGAAUAAGCACCGGCUAACUCCGUGCCAGCCGCCGCGGUAACAC